rnacentral:rRNA from 1 species
UACGUAGGGGGCAAGCGCUGUCCGGAUUUAUUGGGCGUAAAGAGCUCGUAGGCGGUUUGGCAAGUCGGGUGUGAAAACUCCGGGCUCAACUCGGAGACGCCACUCGAUACUGCUAUGACUCGAGUCCGGUAGGGGAGUGCGGAAUUCCUGGUGUAGCGGUGAAAUGCGCAGAUAUCAAGUGGAACACCAGUGGCGAAGGCGAGUCCCUGGACAACUCCUGACACUGAGGCACGAAAGCUAGGGGAGCAAACAGG